rnacentral:rRNA from 1 species
CCUACGGGUGGCUGCAGUGGGGAAUAUUGCACAAUGAGGGAAACCCUGAUGCAGCGACGCCGCGUGCGUGAAGAAGUAUUUCGGUAUGUAAAGCUCUAUCAGCAGGGAAGAAAAUGACGGUACCUGAUUAAGAAGCCCCGGCUAACUACGUGCCAGCAGCCGCGGUAAUACGUAGGGGGGCAGCGUUAUCCGGAUAUACUGGGGGUAAAGGUAGCGUAGACGGCAGCACAAGUCUGGAGGGAAAUGCCGGGGCUUAACCCCGGAAUUGCUUUGGAAACUGUGCAGCUAGAGUGAGGGAGAGGUAAGUGGAAUUCCUAGUGAAGCGGUGAAAUGCGUAGAUAUAAGGAGGAACACCAGUGGCGAAGGCGGCUUACUGGACUGUAACUGACGUUGAGGCUCGAAAGCGUGGGGAGCAAACAGGAUUAGAUACCCUUGUAGUC